UACGGGGGGAGCAAGCGUUGUUCGGAUUUACUGGGCGUAAAGCGUGCGCAGGCGGUUUUGUAAGCCGGAUGUGAAAUCCCCGGGCUCAACCUGGGAACUGCAUUUGUGACUGCAUGGCUAGAGUACGGUAGAGGGGGAUGGAAUUCCGCGUGUAGCAGUGAAAUGCGUAGAUAUGCGGAGGAACACCGAUGGCGAAGGCAAUCCCCUGGACCUGUACUGACGCUCAUGCACGAAAGCGUGGGGAGCAAACAGG
rnacentral:rRNA from 1 species